AGUCAAAUCUUCUACCCUUUUUCUCUCAUAUCAUUUACUUUACCCUAGGAGUAGACGAGUAGAUGAGGUUAGAGCAAAUCUGCAUUCUAAACCAGGUGCUGCUUCUGAUUGUCUUCCCACAUAUGGUCAUGAACUGGAGCUAACAUCUGUUCUCAAUGAAAUCAUUAAGUGCCUAGCAGGACCAAAAAGCUUAUAUAGCUCAAGGUGAGGAAGGGUAACUCUUUAUUUGUUUAAGGGCUUUUUCCACCAUGAAGGCUAGCUAGAAGAAGUAAUAAAGGUAUAACAUUACGUUAGGCCCUUCUUCAUCAGUUCUUCAGUUUCUGCUAGAUUCUUGCUGACUUGGAGCAGGAACUGAUUUAGAGAUGCUAAAGAGCGCAUAGGACAGCAAUGUGGGUCCAGUUCUGUCUGUCUUGAACCCCGUGAAUUUGAGAGAUGACUCCCUACAGGUGUCAAACCGCCAAAACACUGGAGAGAAGAGAAUGCUUCAGAGCACAAAGGCACAGCACCCGGUUACCCUGGGGCACACUUGGGGCACGGCUGCUGCUGCGGGCCGGAGCCGUUCUCGAGGGUGCAGGGACGGUUUAGUCGUCGCUCAGGAGGGAAGGCUCGUCUUGGGUCGUCUCAAGCACUGUUGGCUGCGACGUUCUCAUGGAGUGGAGAUAACAGGCCCUCGACAGACCCCGCCGGUGGCAGGUGGUUGCUGUCCGGGGAACCCCUCCUUUCCUUUCCAAACGCGAAGGCGCGGGCGUGCACGGCGGCGGAGCUCACAGCUCCGGCGGGGGCGGGUCGGGCCCCUCCUCCCUCCGCGGCCUCGAGGUGAACCUGCUCACGGGGCCGCAGCGGACCCUGCCCUCAGGGCGCCCCGUGAGGCGCGUGGCGCUGCGGGGUGGCCGCCCGCCCACUGG